CAUUUGCUGAGAGGUGUUGCCACGGGAACUGGUCACCAGACACUCCCAGAUGCCAGCGAUACCCACGUCGAUGUUGGAGAGGAUGACCUCACUGUAGGAGAACAGAGUGUCUAUGUUGGUGAAUUUCAGAUGGUCUGUAAAGCGAUUCCUAUCGCAAUGGAAAAUGCCUGAUUAAACAAAGGAUGGUGAAACAGUGACAAAGAGCCAACGCAGGCCAUUUGCCAAGACGGCUAAUCUUGAGGAUUUUACUCCUUAUGAAAAAAAAAAAGCCGAAAAGCCAGCAGAGAUUGCUAAGCAACCCGCAUUAUCACCAUGGAAAUGCUGCCUCCUUGAGAAAUGCCAACUGUUUAAUUUCCAAAUACAAUCUGGUUGUAGUCAAAUA